AUUAGCGGCCAUGCCGCAGGGGAAACACCUGGACUCAUCUCGAACCCAGAAGUUAAGACCUGCAGGGAAAAGGUUCGCACUGAGCUGCUGCUUGGAGCGGCCUGGAUGCUGCUAAUC
rnacentral:rRNA from 1 species